AGACUUUCGAAAUUCCCGCAAUUCGACGAGAAUAAGUGACGCAACUUGGAAGUUACUUGACAAUCGAAUCACUUGGAACUGAUCAAUAAUGCGUUAGUAAUUAAUUAGCAACUGGUAGCGCCGUCUGUUGCGUUCCGUUGAAUAACAUGCGUUUUGACUCAAAGCGGUUAAUGAUUUGCGUCAGUAAUUAGUUUCUAAUGAACAGUUCCGUAUGUAUAUAUACGGCCUAAAUGGACGGACGGACUAUACUA